AAAGCAGGGAUUGUGUGUAUCGGCGUUGUGCGAUGAUCAAUGCACUGCUUUGCCGAAAGAGUUCCCUGCGAAAUCGAUCGGAGAAGAUGGGCAGUUGGGUUUCAUUCCAUUCUAUUGGAUCACCAACAAUCAUGUUCCCCACAUCU